AAUACAGGCCCUUCCGUGUCUGGAGAAGGGAAGGAGAUGAAACAUUCAGGGGCCAGGGCUGACACGCAGGAGAAUGAUUCAGAGUUUGGGCAAACUGAUUUCUCAGACACCGUGCUGUUUAGCUUUCCCCAUUUCCAACCUUGGAAAUAUAGCCCUUCCCAAGGCAGUGUGGAAAGGUUAGACUCCAGUCUGCCCCUCCUCAGCCCAAGGCCAUACCUGUGCUGCUAAAAAGGCCCUCUUUGGUCCAACUUUGCAACAAAGAGGUGAAGAAAAGAUAAGAAUAAAUACAUAGAAAAGGGGCAGAAAGAGGAUUGACGUGACCAAGAAAGGCCAGUAACCUUUCCCUCACCCCAGAAGUGGAUCUGCUUUCUGGAUCAGUCUUCUGCCCUAGUCUGUGUGUGACAGAAACAACUGGACAGGGGCUCCCUGGAGGGCUUAGACUACCGUGUGGUUCUGAAGCUGGGGCUGACUGUGUCAUUGGUUGUCAUAACUAUGGAGGUGCUGGUGGAAGCCAGAGAUGAUGGUAAACAGAACAGAAUGCACAAGACAGACCCCAUCCCAAAGACUGACUUCAUCAUUCUAAAUCAGCAGCCCUGAUUUAGAGGAAGGAAACUCCAGGCUUGGCAAGGAGGGGAUGCCUCAGGGUGAGAAGUGGAAGAGCUGGUAUCUUCAGGGACACUUGGUUGGGACAUUAUCAGAGGGUGGCCCUGGGGUCUCAGGGGAGCUACUCAUGGGGUCUGUUUGAAUCUGACAAAUAGCCAGAGAAAAGUGCCUUCAAGGGUGGACAGGGAGCCCAGUUUAGAGAACAAGAUUCCCAGAACAAGGAAGGACUGAGGCGAGGAGAGGGGCACUGGGGAAGGCAUACAGUUCAGAACAGCUGCUCUCUUCCAGGGGCCGGACUCCAGAACCCUGUUCCCAGAGGUGUGGACUGAGCCUGUGGCAGAUGCGCCUCCAUACGCCCUCAGUGUCACACACUUCUCGGAAGUAGUGACAGGUCUGGCCUAGGGCAACUGCAUCUCUUACUGGGAGGAAAGAGGCGAUAUGCUCCACCUGGGGGGAGGCAGGAAGCCUGGUCAUUUGCAGCCCUGGAGUGGUCUGGCCCCCAUCCUGCAUUCUCAAUGCUGCCCCCCACGCAGCAAGACUCACCAGCUCUGGAGGGAACAACUGAACAGAAAUAGAGUUCUCUCUCCCCUUCUCGUCACUCCUCAUACUCUGGGCCACAAGAAGGACAGUUCCGCUUCACCUACCCAAGAAGAAGUGGGGGGCAUGGGAGUUCUGUGAGGGUGGCACUUCUUCCAUCCUGAUCUUAACCUGUCUUUAUCUUUCAUUUCUUGUUUGUUUUUUUGAGGCAGGGUCUAUGUAGUUCAGUCAGGCUGGCUUUGAACUCACUAUGUAGCUCAGGCUGGCCUGGAAUUUGUGGCAAUCCUCCCGCCUCAGCCUCCCAAGUGCUGGGCUCACAGGCAUGUGCCACCACGCCCAGCUCACUCAACCUGUCUCCUCGUGAACUCCUGUCUCAGGCCUCAUCUGACUUCUGCUCUGUGCUGUUAAACCCUGCCACCUGUCUCCAGGUCCUUGGGCCCACCCUCCCUGCCUGCCUUGCUCCAGUCCUCACCACCCCCUCACCCGGAGCCCCUCCUCCCGGCCGCACAGCCCAGUCAGUUUUUUCAGCUUCUGUCUCUGGCUUCUUCUCACCAUCCUGACUGUCACCUCCCUGCUCCUGCCCUCAUCUCUCUGGGCCCUGUCCCCACUGCCUUUCCCACACCAUGUCCCCUGUCUGGGCCUGGAGGACCCCUUGGGCCCCUCCCUCAUGGAGUCCAGGCCAAACAAACCUCUCUGUGACCUCACUGUCCAGCCACUGUGACCUACUCUCCUGAAUAUGCCCUGGGACCUGGCUCCUGGGUUCUAGCUCAUGUUUAGCUGGGUGGCUCAUGGGACAUGCAGGACACUGGAGAAAUAAAGUGUAAACUCCUGAGAGAUGAUACUUUGACUUGCAGGGGGUAGAUUUUCCCUCAAGGCCCUUUCAGCACCAAUGCUGUAGAGAAGCUGGUGAAUCCUAUGCAUCGAAGCAGGCCGGGCCUCCAGGGAUUUGUAGCCCAAGAGUACAAAUUGAGAAAAGAAGACAAAAGUAGGACAGUUUGACAGCUGAGGGGUAAGAGCACCCUGCCCUGACCACCUGGCCCAUACAGGAACCCAGCAACCCAGCACAACUUUUUUUUUUCUUCCAGGAAAUCUUUAUUGAAAGAAAGCUAGCUUCUAAGAGAGAUAAGGGGGCCAGGAAAGUGGGCUGCCCCUCAGCACUGCUCUUUAUGGUCACAUGAAAACAAUCCAAAAGCAGGCCGCUUUCCAGGGUCCAGGAACAUCACUGCAUGCAUGAAGAGCAAGCCAUUAAGGUGGGAGAAGGGGAUGGAUUUGCUCUGAAAGCUUAGGACACAUCCUGGGAGCUGAUGUGGGCUCUGAAGAGGGAAGAAGUUCUGCACCUUCAAGGAGUAGCUGGCUCUUCUGGGGGCUCAAAGGAAUUCCAGGCCUGUGGACACCCAGCUGGCCCUGCAGAGAAUGUGAUCUCCAAGUGGACAGAAAAAGCACUUUCUGCUGCCACUUGGAUUUGGGUCCCCUUUCUUCACUCCAUUUCCCCAAGAAACAAGUAAGAGGUUUCAGAUAGACCAAAACCAUGAUGAAAGCAGAGGAAGUCAGCAAAGCCCGGAGUGGAAGAUCAAGACCUGGCUUUUGCUUCCCCCACCCCAGUACUAUGGAUUAAACGCAAGGCCUUCACACUGAGCUAUAUCUCCAGCCCCCGCUCUUUUUUUUUGACACAGGGUCCUGCUAAGUUGUCCAGGCUGGGCUGGAACCUAUGCGAUCCUCCUGCCUCAGCCUCCCAAAUUGCUGGGAUGACAGUUGUGCACCUCCAUGUCCUGCUGGAACCUGGUUUUGAAAGCCAGCUGUCAGGCUCUCGCUCUUUGCUCUUGCUAACUCAUCAGCCGCCCUCCUGCCUCAGUUUCCUUGUAAAACGAAGGCUUUGCUCAGAUCAUGAAGUCUUUUUUUUUUGGUACCGGGGAUCAAACUCAGGACCUUGCGCUUGCAAGGCAGGCGCCGGAACCACUGAGCUAAAUCCCCGGUCCCAUGAAGUCCUUUUAAAGUAGCUUCCAGAAUCCUGAGAUCGGGUUAUUAUUACAAUUCCUGCCCAGGGAGGUCCUCU
rnacentral:lncRNA from 1 species